CUCUAGUCUAAUGUGAAAAUUUGGUAAAUAAAAGUUGACCAAAGUGAAAUUUACUUUAAAUUUUUUUAUAACUAGUAUUUUUAUUAUUAUGAGAUGAUAAAACAUGAAUAGUACUUUAUGUUUUUAAAUUUUUUCAAAAAAAUUUCAAAUAAGACGGACGGUCAAAGUUUUGCACAGAAAAUUAUAGUUGCACUUAAA
rnacentral:pre_miRNA from 1 species